rnacentral:tRNA from 1 species
GUAGUUAUAGCUCAGUCGUAGAGCGUGUGCUUAGUAUGCACAAGGUCCUGGGUUCAAUCCCCAGUAACUCCA